AUUGAACGCUGGCGGCAUGCCUUACACAUGCAAGUCGAACGGCAGCGGACCUUCGGGUGCCGGCGAGUGGCGAACGGGUGAGUAAUAUAUCGGAACGUACCUUUCAGUGGGGGAUAACGUAGCGAAAGUUACGCUAAUACCGCAUAUUCUGUGAGCAGGAAAGCAGGGGAUCGCAAGACCUUGCGCUGAUUGAGCGGCCGAUAUCAGAUUAGCUAGUUGGUGAGGUAAAGGCUCACCAAGGCGACGAUCUGUAGCGGGUCUGAGAGGAUGAUCCGCCACACUGGAACUGAGACACGGUCCAGACUCCUACGGGAGGCAGCAGUGGAGAAUUUUGGACAAUGGGCGCAAGCCUGAUCCAGCCAUGCCGCGUGAGUGAAGAAGGCCUC
rnacentral:rRNA from 1 species